GCAGAUUUGAAUACAAAUAUUGACAUUGAUUGGAAAGAUGGAUUAAUAUUUAACUAUUGACAUUGAAUGGAAUAAUAGACUAGGACUAUUAAAUUUGCUAAAACUUUUGAAAGUUUACACUGAUCCCCCCAUUUAUGGAAUAAUAAACUAAUGCUCAACCUUUUAAUUACUCUGUUUGCUUGCCAAAUUUUUUCAAGUCUUCACCAUCCCAUUUCAUUUACCGUUAUAAAUUCUCUGGUAUUUUUGAAUGUUUUUGAGGAAUCCUUAUGAAGGAAAGAUUGACUGAAGGGUACAAUUUCUAAUUGAAUUGAAGGUCUGUUUUUCAUUAAAAAGGCUAGAUUUCAGGAUCAUCUACCAGGCAUGGACUGAAUCCAGAUUUUGUGGAUCUAGAAGGUCAACUCACUCAUGAGGCACCAUGGGAAGAUGAGAAAGAUCUUGAGACUGGUCUUGUAUGUCUAGUUUAGAGGACUCCCUCAGUUUCGACAAGCUGCCUAGCAUGGGCACUCUUGACAGGAGGUUUUAAUUCUUUGGCUGGAUGAAAACUACAUCUGCUACAAGAUGGUGGUUGAUGAAUUGGAGGAGCUUAUAUUAGGAGGAUGUAGACUCUGCAGGACUGUCCUUGUUCUGCCAUUAUGUUGCUUCUAUGCAACAGCAAGACUGGUGCAGGCAUAGAAGAGCAACAGUGACUUCUCAAGGUAAUUUUCUCAACAUGAAUAUUCACAGAAGGAAGAAUGGUGAUUGCUUGAUGUAUAAUGUACUGCUAAAGUUACCAGACUGUAAUCAAAGUCUUUGCUUUUAUAUUUUCUUAUUCUGAUUGCACCAACCUUGGAAAAUUGGGUCCUGCCUUAUGCUGCAGUUUUAAUUCAUGUUUUUGUACAUGUAUCUGUGUUUGCUAUGCAUAUUUGUAUUAGAUACAAGUAACAACAACAAAGUUAACUUUAAAGUGGAUUUGCAGCAACAACAAUAGUAACAACAACAAAGUUAACUUUAAAAUGUACACAAAAACAAUGAAGGGAAUGAAGACGAGAUAAAAAGAUCUUUAAGACAAAGGGGAAGCUAACAUGAAUCGACUUUAUAAUUUUAGCAUUUUAAAAUGACUAAGAGGCAUGGUGAUAAAAAAAAUGUUUAGGGAUUUUGUAAAUAUACUAUAUAUUAUCUUUCUAAGGUAAGUAUUUCUAUAAAAAUGUUUAGGGAUUUUAUAAAAAUGCUAUUACAUUGUAAAAGUAAAUUGAGGAGAAGAAAUCGAGUCUUUCUUAGAAAAAAUUAUUAUUAGAGUGUAUUUAAUUUGAUGGAAAUCCAAAAUCAUGUACGAAAUUACUCUCUAUAAGUCGUAAAUGUUGGGUUAGGAUUUGGCAAAAAAAAACAGUGAAGAGGAGAGAAAAGGAAAGAGUGAAGCAAAGGAGACAAUAUUAGGUAAGGAAGAUACGGAAAAUAUACUUAUAAGAGAUCUUUUUAAGGUAUAAGACUAAGAAAUAAGCAAAAAUGAAAAAGACUUUCUUAGACGCACAUAAACCAUAAAAGAAAAUUAUAUAGAGAGAAAAAGGAUUUGGGAGGGGGGCUUAGUCGGACAAGCCUCAUCAAAAGAAGAAAAAAAAAAGAGGAAUAAAGGAAAAGGUAUAGGAAAGAAAGCUUGAACAACAAGGAGGGAACAAGAGAGAAUGUGUGUAUGGGAAAAGGAAGAGAAAAAGAGAAAGGUAAAGGAAAAAUCAAGAUAUAAUAUAAUAGAGCACUUUAAAUUAGUAGUAAGAAAUAAAGUACUCUUUUAUAAAUUUUUUAUAAAACUCUAAAAAACAUGAAAGGGGAGUGAGAGAGAGGUCGAGGUUAUAAUUAGGGAUAUGCAAGUAUAAUUGAUUAUAAGAUUAGCGAAUUAAAAAAAGGAGAAAGAGAAAUAUAAAUAGCAAGUAAAUAAGAGAAAAAAAAGAGCACUUUUAAAAGACCACAUCAAAAGUGAAAUAGGGUAAAAGAUAAAGAUCACUUAAGAAAUUCUUAUUAAAGAGGGUAAUUAAUGGUGGGAAGAGGGGGCAACAGGUAACAGGCUUACUAAAAUGUUUAGAUUAUAAAAAAGAAAAGAAGAGUAGAUGGGUGGGUGGGUGGGUGGGUGGGUGGAAGAAGGAACACGAAGGUGAGAAAAACCAAGGGAAAGAUAGGAAAAGGGAAACAAGAGUGGGAGAAGGAGAAAUAUAAGAGAGUAUAGACAACAACGAUGAAGGAAGAAGAGAUAAGAAGAAAAGCUAAGAGAGAUAAAGAGCCCUUGGGGUGAGAGAGAAAGGGAGGGGUUGGGAAGAGAGAGUGAGAGUAUUUUCUUUUUCAAAGUGUAAGAAAAUGGUAGUCAGCUGUUACUACAGAUGGCGAACUUAAUAUAAGCAAAACACUUGGUAAGAUACAUCGCGGGGUAAGUUUGGCUGAAAAGUUUAUCAACUUUAUGUAUGCUACUAUUCUAUUGGUCCUACUCUUAGUUGCAUUUUUAGCCCUAAGACUUGUAUUGCUUUCAAAGAUUGAUCAUAUUCUAAAAAUGACAUGGUCAUCUGUAAGUAUUGCAUAUCCUUAAACGAAGGGGGAGAGAGGGAGGAAAGUUGAGUAAUAGAGUGGGGGGAAGGAGGGAGUAUGAAGAAGAGACUUUUAAUCACAAAUUAUGAGUGAGUAGAGGAAAAAAAAAAAGUGACUAUGCAUAGGUUAAGAAAGAUAAAUAGAUAGAGUAUAGUGUUUUAAAUUUUCAAAAAAAAAAAAAAAAAAA